GGAUUUAGUAAACGGAAGCUUCGGUGGAAGAUUACUAAUGAGAGUGGCGAACGGGUGAGUAACGCGUGAGCAACCUGCCUAUGACAGUGGGAUAGCCUCGGGAAACCGGGAUUAAUACCGCAUAAAAUCGUAGAAACACAUGUUUUAACGGUCAAAGAUUUAUCGGUCAUAGAUGGGCUCGCGUCUGAUUAGCUAGUUGGUGAGAUAACAGCCCACCAAGGCGACGAUCAGUAGCCGGUCUGAGAGGAUGAACGGCCACAUUGGAACUGAGACACGGUCCAAACUCCUACGGGAGGCAGCAGUGGGGAAUAUUGCACAAUGGGGGAAACCCUGAUGCAGCGACGCCGCGUGAACGAAGAAGGUAUUCGUAUCGUAAAGUUCUGUCCUAUGGGAAGAUAAUGACAGUACCAUAGAAGAAAGCUCCGGCUAAAUACGUGCCAGCAGCCGCGGUAAUACGUAUGGAGCGAGCGUUGUCCGGAAUUAUUGGGCGUAAAGGGUACGCAGGCGGUUUAAUAAGUCGAAUGUUAAAGAUCGGGGCUCAACCCCGUAAAGCAUUGGAAACUGAUAAACUUGAGUAGUGGAGAGGAAAGUGGAAUUCCUAGUGUAGUGGUGAAAUACGUAGAUAUUAGGAGGAAUACCAGUAGCGAAGGCGACUUUCUGGACACAAACUGACGCUGAGGUACGAAAGCGUGGGGAGCAAACAGGAUUAG
rnacentral:rRNA from 2 species